CAAAGUGGAGGAGGUAAUAUCUUUUAUUGGACCAACUUCUGUUGGAGAGCAAGACAAGGUUUCAAGUCACAUGGAGGUCUUCUUCAGUUUCUGGAUCUUCUCUUUCUGA